UAAGGAAUAUUGGUCAAUGGACGCAAGUCUGAACCAGCCAUGCCGCGUGGAGGAUGAAGGUCCUCUGGAUUGUAAACUUCUUUUAUCUGGGACGAAACACUUCUUUUCUAAGUGGCCUGACGGUACCAGAUGAAUAAGCACCGGCUAACUCCGUGCCAGCAGCCGCGGUAAUACGGAGGGUGCAAGCGUUAUCCGGAUUCACUGGGUUUAAAGGGUGCGUAGGUGGGCAGAUAAGUCAGUGGUGAAAUCUUCCGGCUUAACCGGGAAACUGCCGUUGAUACUAUUUGUCUUGAAUAUUGCGGAGGUAAGCGGAAUAUGUCAUGUAGCGGUGAAAUGCUUAGAUAUGACAUAGAACACCAAUUGCGAAGGCAGCUUACUACACAAUCAUUGACACUGAGGCACGAAAGCGUGGGUAGCGAACA
rnacentral:rRNA from 1 species